UGUUCUCAAAUUACUAUGCUCAUUACAAUAAAAGCUAAUAAACAUAAUUAGACACUUAUUUUUACUUUAUUGGCACUAUUUAAAAAUUAAACAUUAUUAAUAGAAACAAAUAUUAAACCAUGCACAACAAACACUAUUAACACUUCCGCACAAACAAGCAGACGCAGCAUAACGCAUCUUGUGAGGUGGAGGCUCCGCCCAUAGAACGAAUCGCGCCCCGUUGCUAUAGCAACUCUGGAACUUUGGAAUGCGAUUUCUCUGAUUCUCUGGAUUUGUCUGUUGGCUCUCAAAUAUUUACAUGUGUAUUUCUAUGGUUGACUCUUACGACACCCACACUGCAAGUUGCAAAUUGACUGUACAUUUUACAGCAGUAAUUAACAUCACAGUAUCUCAGUUAUACUGUACAUCUCCCAUGAUGGAGAAGAAAUGCAAAAAGAACUUUUGGACGACACUUUUUGGCAAUAAAAGAGCUAGUAAAAAAUCCAGCAGUAACACUAGCUCCAGUGAAGCUGAGAAGAAGGACCAGGGUGUGGAUGCUGCCAUGCUACAGUCUCUAAAAGAUGCUGAGGAAGCUGCAGUCCACACCAGGUCUGACUGGAAUGCUAAUGGGGCGCAAGAAAGACAGAAGAAAUCCAAGAGCAAAAAGAACCUCUGGAAAGUCCUCCUCAAAGCUGUUGGCUGCUCUAACAUUGACACUGCCCUCGUCAAUGAUGCCACUGAAAAGCCCUUUGAGCCCAACUGGACUGCUGAAACCCCUGAAGAUCUGUUCAGCAUUGAGUCCAACAGCAUUGAUAAUGCCUCUGAAGCUCCGGUCAGCUUGGAGUUUAACAGCAUUGAUGACACCCCUGAAGCUUUGGUCAGCACUGAUUCAGACUGGAUUGCAGACACCCUUGAGGCUCUGGACAGCGUUUGGUCCAAAUGUGUCGCUGAGCCCCGUAUAGCACCAGUCAACAUUGAGUCUGACUGGAUUGCUUAUGACCAUAAAGCUCCUGUCAGUAUGGUUUCCAAUUGGACUGCUGACUGUAUUCCUGAAGUCAAUAAAUAUCCAGUCAGCAUAGAAUCCAACUGGACUGCUGACGCACCUGCAGUCCCUCAGGCCUCUGAAAGUCCAGUCCGUGUGGUGUCCGGCUGUGCUCCUGAUGUCUGUGAAACCUAUGAAGGUCCAGUCUGCAUGGUGUCUGACUGUGUUCCUGAUACCUCUGAAGGUCCAGUCUGUGAGGUGUCCGACUGUGUUCCUGAUGCUUCUGAGGCCCCUGAGAGUGCAGUCUGCUUGGUGUCCGGCUGUGUUUCUGAUGUCUCUGAAGCCUAUGAAGGUCCAGUCUGUGUUGCGUCGGACUGUGUUUCUGAUGCUUCUGAGGACCCUGAGAGUGCAGUCUGCAUGGUGUCCGGCUGUGUUCCUGAUGCUUCUGAGGUCCAUACAGGUCCAGUCUGUGUGGUGUCUGACUGUGUUCCUGAUUCCUCUGAGGCCCAUGAAGGUCCAGUCUGCAUGGUGUCUGACUGUGUUCCUGAUGCUUCAGAGGCCUAUGAAGGUCCACUCUGUGUUGUGUCAGACUGUGUUCCUGAUGCCUUUGUAUCUCCGGUCUGCAUUAAGCCUGCCUGUACGGCUGGGGCCCCUGAUGCUGGACCCAGAUUGAGUCAGACUGAAGUGCUGACCCCCUUCAACAUCCAACUCCCACUGAGUUCGACUGGAGUGCUGACCCCUCUGAAGCUCUGGUCUGCGCUGAGUCUGACUGGACUGCUGAGGCCCUGGAAGGUUCGGUCAGCAUUGAGUCAGGUGGGAGUACAGACACCCUGGAAGCUCCAGAUGACAUCGAGUCCAGUUGGAGUGCUGAUGCCCUUCAACCUACAGCUUGCACUGAGGCAGAUUGGACUACUGGAGCCCUUCAACUGCACUUUUUAGUCCAUAUCUCCAUCUACAUUUUAUCAUAUUAUCUUAUAUAUAAUAUUAUGUGUAAUAUAAUUGUUGUGUAAAUAAAAUUUGUUUGCAA
rnacentral:lncRNA from 1 species